rnacentral:rRNA from 1 species
GAGUUUGAUCCUGGCUCAGGAUAAACGCUGGCGGCGCACAUAAGACAUGCAAGUCGAACGAACUUAAUCUCUUGCUUGCAAGAGAAGCGGUUAGUGGCGGACUGGUGAGUAACACGUAAGAAAUCUGCCUAUCAGAGGGGAAUAACAAUGAGAAAUCAUUGCUAAUACCGCAUAUGCCAUAGGGCUCGCAUGAGCCUAGUGGGAAAGGAGUAAUCCGCUGAUAGAUGAACUUGCGUCUGAUUAGCUAGUUGGUGGGGUAAAGGCCUACCAAGGCGACGAUCAGUAGCCGGACUGAGAGGUUGAACGGCCACAUUGGGACUGAGAUACGGCCCAGACUCCUACGGGAGGCAGCAGUCGGGAAUAUUGCGCAAUGGAGGAAACUCUGACGCAGUGACGCCGCGUAAUAGGGGAAGGUUUUCGGAUUGUAAACUAUGUCCACAGGAAGAAAAAG